GGGGGUUUUAUAGUUUUUUUUUUUUACUGUUGGACCCCCCAACGGUCAAAAUUUUAAAUGACUGUUGGGGGUCAAAAACACGGGCUAAAACUCGUCCCUGAGCGACGUUUUGCCAUGUCAGCAAAGCACGUCCACGUCAGUGCAUUUUUUGCUGACAUGGCAAAAUCGCUCCCUCAGGGUUGCGUUUUGCUGAAAUUUUCCCUUAAAA
rnacentral:lncRNA from 1 species